rnacentral:rRNA from 1 species
UUAUCAAAAUAACAAAUAUUUAUAUUGUAAAAGUUGUAAUAGUUUUCGGUUGGGGCGACCCUGGAGAAAAACAAAUCCUCCAGAUUGAAAGGAAAAUAAUCCUUAUAUAAGAGUUACAACUCAAAUAAACAAAAACUUGACAAAAUGACCCAGAAUUAACUGAUCAGAGAACCAAGUUACCCUGGGGAUAACAGCGC